AAGAGAGAUAACAGUUAAUUCACUAUGCUGGGACUCUGAAAAGAGAGAGCAAGGCCUGUGUAAAAUCAUCAAGGCUCUGGGACUGGGGAUCUGGGAAUUUGGCGAAUGCGGUGGCUAUUGGUCAGUGAAGCCGAGACAUGGGCAGCCAGUCAGACUGAUUGUAACAGAUGACCCAGAGGCUGAAAGUAAAGUGACCUGACCAAGGCUACAGAUAGUGGCAUCACAGAUACUAGGUCCUGGGUCUCCUGACCACAUUGCUUGGACAUGCUAACAAGUCAGCUGAUACUCUUACAGCACCAUACACCAUCACAGCUGCUCGUUGGAGUCAUUGCUGCAGCCAACACACAAUCCAUGAGCCUGUUUCCGCCUGCCCCGGGAACCUUAAGGAUUUUGAAAACCUUUUGUUGGGGUAGGAAAGGGAGGGGGGUUUGGAGAGGGUGGUUCUCUGUGUAAAACACGUGGGGUUUCAACACUGCUAUAAAUAU